rnacentral:rRNA from 1 species
UACGUAUGGAGCAAGCGUUAUCCGGAUUUACUGGGUGUAAAGGGUGCGUAGGCGGUACGGCAAGUCAGAAGUGAAAGCCUGGGGCUCAACCCCGGAAUUGCUUUUGAAACUGUCGGACUAGAGUGUCGGAGGGGUAAGUGGAAUUCCUAGUGUAGCGGUGAAAUGCGUAGAUAUUAGGAGGAACACCGGUGGCGAAGGCGGCUUACUGGACGACAACUGACGCUGAGGCUCGAAAGCGUGGGGAGCAAACAGG